UAGAGCAGCGGACUUUUAAUCCGUUGGUCGCAGGUUCGAAUCCCGCACGACCCA
rfam:Chromobacterium aquaticum strain CC-SEYA-1 NODE_107_length_8453_cov_27.195908, whole genome shotgun sequence.